rnacentral:tRNA from 2 species
GCGGAUGUAGUUCAGUGGUAGAAUGUCUCCUUCCCAAGGAGAAGGUCGGCGGUUCGAAUCCGCUCAUCCGCUCCC